rnacentral:rRNA from 1 species
GCUGGCGGCAGGCCUAACACAUGCAAGUCGAACGGAGUUAUAUUGUAGCUUGCUAUGGUAUAACUUAGUGGCAGACGGGUGAGUAAUGUAUAGGAAUCUACCUAGUAGUACGGAAUAAUUGUUGGAAACGGCAACUAAUACCGUAUACGCCCUACGGGGGAAAAAUUUAUUGCUAUUAGAUGAGCCUAUAUUAGAUUAGCUAGUUGGUGGAGUAAUAGCCUACCAAGGCAAUGAUCUAUAGCUGAUCUGAGAGGAUGAUCAGCCACACUGGAACUGAGAUACGGUCCAGACUCCUACGGGAGGCAGCAGUGGGGAAUAUUGGACAAUGGGCGAAAGCCUGAUCCAGCCAUGCCGCAUGAGUGAAGAAGGCCUUUGGGUUGUAAAGCUCUUUUAGUGAGGAAGAUAAUGACGGUACUCACAGAAGAAGUCCUGGCUAACUCCGUGCCAGCAGCCGCGGUAAUACGGAGAGGGCUAGCGUUAUUCGGAAUUAUUGGGCGUAAAGGGCGCGUAGGCGGAUUAGUAAGUUAAAAGUGAAAUCCCAAGGCUCAACCUUGGAAUUGCUUUUAAAACUGCUAAUCUAGAGAUUGAAAGAGGAUAGAGGAAUUCCUAGUGUAGAGGUGAAAUUCGUAAAUAUUAGGAGGAACACCAGUGGCGAAGGCGUCUAUCUGGUUCAAAUCUGACGCUGAGGCGCGAAGGCGUGGGGAGCAAACAGGAUUAGAUACCCUGGUAGUCCACGCUGUAAACGAUGAAUGUUAAAUAUGGGAAGUUUUACUUUCUGUAUUACAGCUAACGCGUUAAACAUUCCGCCUGGGGACUACGGUCGCAAGAUUAAAACUCAAAAGAAUUGACGGGGACC